GAACGGGUGAGUAACACGUGGGCAAUCUGCCCUUCACUCUGGGACAAGCCCUGGAAACGGGGUCUAAUACCGGAUACCACUACCGCAGGCAUCUGUGGUGGUUGAAAGCUCCGGCGGUGAAGGAUGAGCCCGCGGCCUAUCAGCUUGUUGGUGAGGUAAUGGCUCACCAAGGCGACGACGGGUAGCCGGCCUGAGAGGGCGACCGGCCACACUGGGACUGAGACACGGCCCAGACUCCUACGGGAGGCAGCAGUGGGGAAUAUUGCACAAUGGGCGAAAGCCUGAUGCAGCGACGCCGCGUGAGGGAUGACGGCCUUCGGGUUGUAAACCUCUUUCAGCAGGGAAGAAGCGAAAGUGACGGUACCUGCAGAAGAAGCGCCGGCUAACUACGUGCCAGCAGCCGCGGUAAUACGUAGGGCGCAAGCGUUGUCCGGAAUUAUUGGGCGUAAAGAGCUCGUAGGCGGCUUGUCACGUCGGGUGUGAAAGCCCGGGGCUUAACCCCGGGUCUGCAUUCGAUACGGGCUAGCUAGAGUGUGGUAGGGGAGAUCGGAAUUCCUGGUGUAGCGGUGAAAUGCGCAGAUAUCAGGAGGAACACCGGUGGCGAAGGCGGAUCUCUGGGCCAUUACUGACGCUGAGGAGCG
rnacentral:rRNA from 1 species